rnacentral:rRNA from 1 species
UACGUAGGUGGCAAGCGUUGUCCGGAAUUACUGGGCGUAAAGCGCGCGCAGGCGGUUUCUUAAGUCUGAUGUGAAAGCCCACGGCUCAACCGUGGAGGGUCAUUGGAAACUGGGGAGCUUGAGUGCAGGAGAGAAGAGUGGAAUUCCACGUGUAGCGGUGAAAUGCGUAGAGAUGUGGAGGAACACCAGUGGCGAAGGCGACUCUUUGGCCUGUAACUGACGCUGAGGCGCGAAAGCGUGGGGAGCGAACAGG